UUACAGAUGGUUGUGAGCCACCAGGUAGU
rnacentral:piRNA from 1 species